rnacentral:rRNA from 1 species
ACGCUCGACACCUACGGAGGCAGCAGUGGGGAAUAUUGCACAAUGGGGGAAACCCUGAUGCAGCGACGCCGCGUGGAGGAAGAAGGUCUUCGGAUUGUAAACUCCUGUUGUUGGGGAAAAAGAGGAUGGUACCCAACAAGGAAGUGACGGCUAACUACGUGCAAGCAGCCGCGGUAAUCUGAGCGGGCUGGCAAGGC